GUGAGGAAUAUUGGUCAAUGGGCGGGAGCCUGAACCAGCCAAGUCGCGUGAAGGAAGAAGGAUCUAUGGUUCGUAAACUUCUUUUGCAGGGGAAUAAAGUGCAGGACGUGUCCUGUUUUGUAUGUACCCUGAGAAUAAGGAUCGGCUAACUCCGUGCCAGCAGCCGCGGUAAUACGGAGGAUCCGAGCGUUAUCCGGAUUUAUUGGGUUUAUAGGGUGCGUAGGUGGUUUGAUAAGUCAGCGGUGAAAGUUUGCAGCUUAACUGUAAAAAUGCCGUUGAAACUGUCGGACUUGAGUGUAAAUGAGGUAGGCGGAAUGCGUGGUGUAGCGGUGAAAUGCAUAGAUAUCACGCAGAACUCCGAUUGCGAAGGCAGCUUACUAAGCUACAACUGACACUGAAGCACGAAAGCGUGGGGAUCAAACAGGAUUAGAUACCCGUGUAGUCC
rnacentral:rRNA from 1 species